rnacentral:rRNA from 1 species
AACGAACGCUGGCGGCAUGCCUAACACAUGCAAGUCGAACGAAACCUUCGGGUCUUGUGUCGCACGGUUUCGUAACGCGUGGGAACCUGCCCUUAUGUUCGGAAUAACUCCCCGAAAGGGGUACUUAUACCGGAUAAUGUCUUCGGCCCAAAGAUUUAUCGCCUUUGGUUGUUCACGCGUUGGAUUCGCUAGUUGGUAGGGUAAAAGCAUACUAAGGCGUCGAUGAAUAGCUGGUAUGAGAGGAAGAUCAGCCACACUGGGAGUGAGAAACGGCCGAGACUCCUACGGGAGGGAGGAGUGGGGAAUAGUGGAAAGUGGGGGGAAGGAUGAAGGAGCAAUGCCGGGUGAGUGAUGAAGGCCUUAGGGUUGUAAAGCUCUUUUACCCGGGAAGAUAAUGACAGUACCGGGAGAAUAAGCUCCGGCUAACUACGUG